rnacentral:rRNA from 1 species
AUUGAACGCUGGCGGCAGGCCUAACACAUGCAAGUCGAACGAGUGGCGGACGGGUGAGUAAUGUCUGGGAAACUGCCUGAUGGAGGGGGAUAACUACUGGAAACGGUAGCUAAUACCGCAUACCAUCGGAUGUGCCCAGAUGGGAUUAGCUUGUAGGUGGGGUAAAGGCUCACCUCGGCGACGAUCCCUAGCUGGUCUGAGAGGAGGACCAGCCACACUGGAACUGGGCAACGGUCCAGACUACUACGGGAGGCAGCAGUGGGGAAUAUUGGACAAUGGGCGCAAGCCUGAUGCAGCCAGGCCGCGUGGAUGAAGAAGGCCGUCGGGUUGUAAAGUACUUUCAGCGGGGAGGCGUUACCCGCAGAAGAAGCACCGGCUAACUCCGUGCCAGCAGCCGCGGUAAUUC